rnacentral:rRNA from 1 species
GAUGAACGCUGGCGGCGUGCUUAACACAUGCAAGUCGAACGGAAAGGCCCUGCUUUUGUGGGGUGCUCGAGUGGCGAACGGGUGAGUAACACGUGAGUAACCUGCCCUUGACUUUGGGAUAACUUCAGGAAACUGGGGCUAAUACCGGAUAGGAGCUCCUGCUGCAUGGUGGGGGUUGGAAAGUUUCGGCGGUUGGGGAUGGGCUCGCGGCUUAUCAGCUUGUUGGUGGGGUAGUGGCUUACCAAGGCUUUGACGGGUAGCCGGCCUGAGAGGGUGACCGGCCACAUUGGGACUGAGAUACGGCCCAGACUCCUACGGGAGGCAGCAGUGGGGAAUAUUGCACAAUGGGCGGAAGCCUGAUGCAGCAACGCCGCGUGAGUGAUGAAGGUCUUCGGAUCGUAAAACUCUGUUAUUAGGGAAGAACAUAUGUGUAAGUAACUGUGCACAUCUUGACGGUACCUAAUCAGAAAGCCACGGCUAACUACGUG